rnacentral:ncRNA from 1 species
ACGGAGUAACCCGAAAAGCCAUUAAAUGAGUAGGGA